rnacentral:rRNA from 1 species
AUUGAACGCUGGCGGCAGGCCUAACACAUGCAAGUCGAACGGCGCGGCGGACGGGUACGUAAUGCCUAGGCAUCUGCCUCGUCGUGGGGGAUAACGUCCGGAACCGGGCGCUAUAGCUGCAUCCUAUCAGCUGCACCUAGGUCGGAUUCGCUAGUUGGUGGGGUAAAGGCAGACCAAGGCGACGACCCGUAACUGGUCUGAGAGGAUGAUCAGGCACACUGGAACUGAGACACGGUCCAGACUCCUACGGGAGGCAGCAGUGGGGAAUAUUGGACAAUGGGCGAAAGCCUGAUCCAGCCAUGCCGCGUGUGUGAAGAAGGGCUUCGGAUUGUAAAGCACUUUAAGUGGGGAGGCGUUACCAACAGAAGAAGCACCGGCUAACUCCGUGCCAGCAGCCGCGGUAAUUC